rnacentral:ncRNA from 2 species
UUAACGAAAGGGAAUGAGGUUCUCCCUAGGUAAGUUUACCUAAACCGCAGUUAUUUGCUGAUGACUUCUGUGACGCU